UUUUUAAAACCUAUUGUCCGCCUCUCCCUUCUUGGAGCGCCCUGUUUCAUUUCUACCAAAAAUUCGCAGCAAAUCGUCUGAAAAUCUGUAUUUUUGUGCUAUAAUCUCUCUUCAAUUCUCGAAGUUCAGUUUCAUUUUGAUCUUGUUUUGAGAUUUUUUUUGUUUUUGAUUUCGUGUUCUGAAGAAUAUGAAUCUCCUCCUUCGCAUUCGCAUUCAGUUCUUGAGGAAUUCCAUUAACCAGCUCUGUAACUCGAUUCCAUCGAAUCCACAUUUCGUUUGUCUCAGAAGAUUUUCAUUUCAUUCAUGGUUCUUGAAUACUGAUCAUGGUAACUUCAGCCAUAUUCUCCGUCUAUCUCAAAUCCAAAACUAUCCAGCUCCCGUCCUCUCUUUUACGAAAUUUUGUUUGAAUUUCUACUCUAAUAGUGCACCUUCAAGAUCCUUUAGGAGGAGAGCGAGUAAGAGAUUGAAAUCCAGAAUCAAACCUAAGCUGAACGAGGCUCAAUUUCAGCACGCAAUUUCUCAAAUCCCUCCAAGGUUUAACUCCGAAGAACUCUAUAAUGUCAUUUCUGUUCAGGGAGAUCCUUUGGUGUGCUUUGAACUGUUCAAUUGGGCCUCCCAGCAGUCUCGUUUCAGACAUGAUGUUUCCACUUAUGAGAUUACAAUUAAGAAGCUGGGUGAGGCGAAAAUGUACGAAGAAAUGGAUAAUGUUGUGAAUCAGGUGCUUGCUGUUCCUUCUAUUGGUUCUGAGACUCUUUACAAUACUAUGAUAUAUUUUUUUACUGAGGCAAGGAAGUUGACUAGAGCUAUCAAUAUAUUUAAGCAUAUGCAGAACAACAAAAACUUGAACUGUAGGCCUUCAAUUAGAACCUAUAAUCUGCUUUUUACUGCAUUCUUGAGUCGGGGUCGUAAUGCUUAUAUAAAUCUCAUGUAUAUGGAGACUAUUAGAUGCCUCUUCAGACAGAUGGUGAAUGAUGGCAUUGAACCUGACAUAUUUACUUUAAAUUGUAUGAUAAAGGGGUAUGUGCUAUCCCUUCAUGUCAAUGAUGCUCUCAGGAUCUUCCACCAAAUGGGUGUUGUUUAUAGUAGCCUCCCAAAUUCAUUUUCCUAUGAUUAUUUGAUUCACGGGUUAUGCGCGCAAGCGCGAACGGAUAAUGCGAGGGAGUUGUGCAAUGAAAUGAAGGAAAAGGGGUUUGUGCCAAGUAGUAUAUCAUAUAAUUCAAUUGUUAAUGCUAUGGCUCUCAAUGGAGAGGUUGAAGAAGCAGUGAAUUAUUUGUGGGAGAUGAUUGGUAAUAGAAGGUCUCCUGAUUUUAUUACAUAUAAGACGGUAUUGGAUGAACUGUGCAGGCGAGGGAGGGUUGGAGAAGCCACGAGUUUGUUGAGGGAAGUGCAGGAGAAGGAACUUGUGGAUGGUCAUACUUAUAGGAAACUUCUCUAUGUGCUUGAAGAUGACUAUGGAAAUGUAAAUGGUGGAUGGCCAUGAUCUGGAAUCAUGGAUCGUGUGGUUUUUGAAGGUAGGAUGGACUCAUGACGUUUGAUAUCAGAGCCUCGCUGUGUGUUUUAGUCGGAUCAAGUAGAUAGAAAAGCGGCCUGUCUUGAUUUCUCCCGGUGGUUGUUGUGUAUCAAUGGAAGGUUUACCGAUGCCAUUUGCUGAAAAGUUAGAAACCUAUGAUUUAUUCAGAUGCUUUACUUAAUUUAGUUAUCGAUCAAGAAGAUUCUUCUGGAGAAUCAUCAAUCAAUUGUGGCUACUCGGCUUAGAGCUGGUGCAUAUCUUUUGAAGCUUCAAGAGUUACAGCUGGUGCAUAUCUUUUGUGGCUACACGGCUUAAAAACGCUACAAAUAUUAGUCAAUCAGCAAGGUAAAAAGUCUAGCAGCUUCGCUCCUUCACCUGUUGGUGUAUUCUCAUGCGAAGCAGCCGUCUUUGUGGGACUUGAAUUAUAUGAUAUCUUCUCCAAAAGAAGCUCGGGAUCCCUUUAUGGCUUUUCCCCCAUCAAGUUCAAGGUACUUUUUUCAAGCUGAGUUCAUUUAACACUGAAUUUUUUUGCAUGAGGAAUCAAUAUAGAAAUUCAUACAAGUCCAGCAGGAUAGUGCUAUAUUUAUAGUGCUCAAGACAUGUUUCAAUUUUUGACUAGUAGGUUGGUGUCUAGUAGAAUUUGCAUUUAGGAACAUGAAGAAUUGGAGUAAAACAACACUUGAGCUUAAUGUAUAUUACACUAAUCUUCUGUUUGCUAUUGAUCUGAAAAUUAAUCUAAUUGUGUAAAUGUAAAAAAGAUAUAUGUGGAUUUAUAUGUAGCAAUACGCCAAAAGCAAAUAAUAUUUAACUAUAAGUUUGCUAUUCUAGCAUCGUGAAUAAGAUAUCUAUUACUAUAUUGUGAGUUUAAAAAGAUUUAAAGAGAAUUGCACGUGGAUUGAAAAAUGAAAUCAAUUCCAAACCUAGGCUUUUGUGAUUACAUUACACUUUUGUUCUACGAUUUGUUGUAGAGAAUAUAAUUUUAGGAGAUAAGAAACGUAUCUUGAGAUUGAUUGCAAUGAAGUUUAAUCGUACUAAUUUGUUUGUAAGUAUGCUUAAAUUGUAAGCUUAAUCCUUAAACUUUUUGAAUAAUGUAACUGAAUGACUCAAAAUUU